rnacentral:rRNA from 1 species
UAUGGAAGGCAGCAGUGGGGAAUAUUGCACAAUGGGCGCAAGCCUGAUGCAGCCAUGCCGCGUGUAUGAAGAAGGCCUUCGGGUUGUAAAGUACUUUCAGUCGUGAGGAAGGUGUUAAGGUUAAUAACCUUAGCAAUUGACGUUAGCGACAGAAGAAGCACCGGCUAACUCCGUGCCAGCAGCCGCGGUAAUACGGAGGGUGCGAGCGUUAAUCGGAAUUACUGGGCGUAAAGGGCACGCAGGCGGUUAAUUAAGUUGGAUGUGAAAUCCCCGGGCUUAACCUGGGAAUGGCAUUCAAGACUGGUUAGCUAGAGUCUUGUAGAGGGGGUAGAAUUCCAUGUGUAGCGGUGAAAUGCGUAGAGAUGUGGAGGAAUACCGGUGGCGAAGGCGGCCCCUGGGACAAAGGACUGACGCUCAUGUGCGAAAGCGUGGGGAGCGAAACAGGAUUAGAUA